CGCUAUCAGAUGAGCCUAGGUCGGAUUAGCUAGUUGGUGAGGUAAUGGCUCACCAAGGCGACGAUCCGUAACUGGUCUGAGAGGAUGAUCAGUCACACUGGAACUGAGACACGGUCCAGACUCCUACGGGAGGCAGCAGUGGGGAAUAUUGGACAAUGGGCGAAAGCCUGAUCCAGCCAUGCCGCGUGUGUGAAGAAGGUCUUCGGAUUGUAAAGCACUUUAAGUUGGGAGGAAGGGCAUUAACCUAAUACGUUAGUGUUUUGACGUUACCGACAGAAUAAGCACCGGCUAACUUCGUGCCAGCAGCCGCGGUAAUACGAAGGGUGCAAGCGUUAAUCGGAAUUACUGGGCGUAAAGCGCGCGUAGGUGGUUCGUUAAGUUGGAUGUGAAAGCCCCGGGCUCAACCUGGGAACUGCAUCCAAAACUGGCGAGCUAGAGUACGGUAGAGGGUGGUGGAAUUUCCUGUGUAGCGGUGAAAUGCGUAGAUAUAGGAAGGAACACCAGUGGCGAAGGCGACCACCUGGACUGAUACUGACACUGAGGUG
rnacentral:rRNA from 1 species